UGUUUUCUCUUAUUUUUGAGUGUAUAUUGACAUUGCGAUAAGACGUGUCACGGUACUUGUCAAUCCCAAAUUCAUGUAUUUGGUUUUGAUGUUAUAUUUGUUAUUCUCGUGGGAUUUUGUCUGAUGCUUGGUCCGUUUCUGUGUGUGUUAGUUACAUUGUAGUGUUGUGUCGUUGUUCUCCUCUUAUAUUUAUGCGUUUCCCUCAGUUUUAGUUUGUUACCCCGAUUUUGUUUUUUGUCCAUGGAUUUAUGAGUUUGAACAGCGGUAUACUACUGUUGCCUUUAUA
rnacentral:lncRNA from 1 species